rnacentral:rRNA from 1 species
AUGAACGGAGCUGAGAAGUUGAACCAUGGCCGAACGGCCUACCACUUCCAGCCUGCCAAGUACUGGCAAAAUGAUCCCAAUGGGCCAAUGUACCACAACGGCAUGUACCACUUCUUCUACCAGUACAACCCUCGCGGCCCGACCUGGGGCGACGGCAAGCUAUCAUGGGGCCACUCCGUCUCCGGCGAUCUCGUGAACUGGGCCGACGUUGGCAAUGCGUUGGACCCUACCUCCCCGUUCGACGUCAACGGCUGCUGGUCGGGCUCCGCCACCGUCCUCCCCGGCGGCCGCCCGGCGAUCCUCUACACCGGCAUGGACGACGCCGACAAGGCGCAGGUGCAGAACGUGGCCUUCGCCAAGAACCCCUCCGACCCGCUCCUCCGCGAGUGGGAGAAGCCCAGCUGCAACCCGGUCAUCCCGAUGCCGGCGGACGUCACCGGCAACAACUUCCGCGAUCCCACGGAGGCGUGGCGUGGCCGCGACGGCCUAUGGAGGGUCGCCGUCGCCGCCGAGGUCCGCGGUGUCGGCUCCUUGCUCGUGUACAGGAGCGCGGACUUCCUCCAUUGGGAGCGCAACGCUGGCGCGCCUCUGCAUGCCGCCAGCUCGCGCGACGGGGACGGCCCCGCCGUGCUGGAGUGCCCGGACCUGUUCCCGAUGGCGGCACCCGGCGCGAUGGAGGGGCUCGACGUGUCGGCGAGCCGCGCCGGGGUGCUGCACGUGCUCAAGCUCAGCGACUUCGCCAAGGAGGACCACUACAUGGUCGGGCGGUACGACGACGAGGAGGACACCUUCAAGCCGGCAGAGCCCGAGCGCGGCGGCGACUGCGCCAACUGGCGCCGGCUCGACCACGGCCACCUGUACGCGUCCAAGUCCUUCUACGACGCCCGCAAGAAGCGGCGUGUGCUGUGGGCAUGGGUGGACGAGACCGACGGCGGCGGCGAAGGCAGAGGGUGGGCCGGCAUCCAGGCGUUCCCGAGGGCGAUGUGGCUGGACACCGACGGGAAGCGGCUGGUGCAGUGGCCAGUCGAAGAGAUCGAGACGCUGAGGAGGAAGCGGGUCGGCCUGCAGUGGGCGACGGAGGUGGACGCCGGCGGCACGAAGGAGAUCGCCGGCAUCGUCAGCUUGCAGGCGGACGUGCAGGCGGUCUUCGAGGUCCCGAACCUGGAGGAUGCCGAGACGUUGGACCCGAAGUGGCUGCAGGAUCCCAAGGGGCUGUGCGCCGAGAAGGGCGCGUCCGUGCCGGGCGGAGUCGGCCCGUUCGGGCUCCUCGUCAUGGCUUCCGGCGACCUGAGGGAGCACACCGCGAUCUUCUUCAGGGUGUUCAAGCACCUUGACACGUACAAGGUUCUCAUGUGCACCGACCUCACAAAGUCAUCUACGAAAGCAGAAGGGGUAAAAAUCCCAUCCUACGGGGCAUUUCUGGACGUGGACGUGGAGAAGGACAAGAGCCUGUCGCUCAGAACACUGAUCGAUCACACGGUGGUGGAGAGCUUCGGCGACGGCGGGAGGACGUGCAUGACGGCUCGCAUGUACCCAGAGCACGCGGCGACGAGCCGCAGCCGGCUGUACGCGUUCAACUAUGGCGCCGGCGCCGUGAAGGUGUCCAAGCUGGAGGCGUGGGAGUUGGCAACGGCGGCCGUGAACGGUGGCGGCGUUAUAUAG